ensembl:lncRNA
AUAAGACAUGGAUGUCUAUCAGUAGAAAAUUAAAAAUGUAAUUUCAUUCAAUCUACUUUUUUUUUUUUUUUUUUCCUCAAUCAGUAAGUAGGAGUACUAAAAGUCUGUAAUACAGAUGGGGGAUUAAAUUUUGGCCAAUGACCAUUUUACUUUUGAAGAUGACCUGUCCUCCUCUCCUGCAAAAUAAAGGGGUUAAGGACAGCCAAUUUCAAGAGGAAUCUAAGACUGAAUUCAGAUGGAUCUUCUGUACAAAAAGAAGUACAGGGUGGAUGCUAGGAAUAAUGAUUAUCUAAUUUUGUAAUUUUGUAG